GCGCCCGUAGCUCAAUUGGAUAGAGCGUCUGGCUACGGACCAGGAGGCUGGGGGUUCGAGUCCUCCCGGGCGCA
rnacentral:tRNA from 1 species